UAGGAAGAAAACCCUCUACGAAAGAGCGAAAGGGAAACCUCACACUUUCUAUUUUUUAACGCGAAAGUUAGAGCAGUUGUAGCUUCCAAGCUGAAGUGGUAUGAUUUUCCCAGAACUUUUUUUUUUUUUUAAGAAGAAGGAAAUAUUUUAUCAGCAUAAAAGAUCAGAGUCGUGGCAGCAGCCCAAAGGAAAUCCUUUUUCUUUCCAACGUCUGGAUUGUGAGGAAAGUCAAAAAUAUCAUUUCCCCACCCCUCCUUUUACCUGAAUUUCCUUGGAAAACAAAGGAAGGCUUUUCAUUUAUUUAUUUAUUUAUUUAUUUUUUAAUGUUUUACUGGUGGAGAAGUUGCACGUGCAGUGAGCAGAGGCAAGGGGAGAGAGAAGUAGGAAAUCGGGACCGCCGAACCCCUGUCAGCACCUAUCUGUUGACAACGAUUAGCAGCACAGUCAGAACUGGAAAAGUGCGUUAUUCCAGAGCGUCUCGUUUCAAGAAAUCAGGCAGUACUUGGAUUAUGAGAUUUAGUGGCACAUAAACCUGCAUUUGAAGACUGGCUUUUCCACUUAACUAGCUGUGAGAUCUUAAUUUCUCUGAGCUUCAGUUCCCUUAUCUAGAAGAUAGACUGAUUUUCAAUUUGAUUUUUACAUUCAGAAGAUAAACCCUGACCCUGCUCUAGAUUUAAAAGUGAUCAAAUAAUGAUUAAUACUAGUUAUGGUGUUCCAUGAUCUUCCAAGGAGUGGGGUGUUCCACA